UACGAAGGGGGCUAGCGUUGUUCGGAAUCACUGGGCGUAAAGGGCGCGUAGGCGGCUUUAUAAGUCGGGGGUGAAAGCCUGUGGCUCAACCACAGAAUUGCCUUCGAUACUGUAGAGCUUGAGACCGGAAGAGGUAAGUGGAACUGCGAGUGUAGAGGUGAAAUUCGUAGAUAUUCGCAAGAACACCAGUGGCGAAGGCGGCUUACUGGUCCGGAGCUGACGCUGAGGCGCGAAAGCGUGGGGAGCAAACAGG
rnacentral:rRNA from 1 species